GCCUUGGAAACUUACUGACUUGAGCGCAGGAGAGGAGAGCGGAAUUCCUAGUGUAGCGGUGAAAUGCGUAGAUAUUAGGAGGAACACCAGUGGCGAAGGCGGCUCUCUGGACUGUAACUGACGCUGAGGCACGAAAGCGUGGGGAGCGAACAGGAUUAGAUACCCUGGUAGUCCACGCCGUAAACGAUGAGUGCUAGGUGUCGGGGGUUACCCCCCUCGGUGCCGCAGUUAACGCAAUAAGCACUCCGCCUGGGGAGUACGGUCGCAAGACUGAAACUCAAAGGAAUUGACGGGGACCCGCACAAGCAGCGGAGCAUGUGGUUUAAUUCGAAGCAACGCGAAGAACCUUACCAGGACUUGACAUCCUCUGCAUUACCCUUAAUCGGGGAAAUCCCUUCGGGGACAGAGAGACAGGUGGUGCAUGGUUGUCGUCAGCUCGUGUCGUGAGAUGUUGGGUUAAGUCCCGCAACGAGCGCAACCCUUGUCAUUAGUUGCUACGAAAGGGCACUCUUAUGAGACUGCCGGUGACAAACCGGAGGAAGGUGGGGAUGACGUCAGGUCAUCAUGGCCCUUAUGGGUAGGGCUACACACGUCAUACAAUGGCCGGUACAGAGGGCUGCCAACCCGCGAGGGGGAGCCAAUCCCAGAAAACCGGUCGUAGUCCGGAUCGCAGUCUGCAACUCGACUGCGUGAAGUCGGAAUCGCUAGUAAUCGCGGAUCAGCUUGCCGCGGUGAAUACGUUCCCGGGUCUUGUACACACCGCCCGUCACACCAUGGGAGCGGGUUCUGCCAGAAGUAGUUAGCCUAA
rnacentral:rRNA from 1 species